UAGGAAGAGGCGGCCGCACACUCUCCGGUCGGCCCCACGGUCGGUGCCGCGCGCGGUCCGGCUGGCCGCUCCGGUCGGUUGGCGGCUGCUCGGUGUCCGCGGGAGCUGUUGGGGGGCACUUCCAGGUGUCUUUGCUUUGCAUCAGCAUUUCCUGUUGUAGUCAGCAGGGUUCAGAGCAACUCUGUGGGAAGAGCCGCGUGUUGUCCGGCAACUGCCGACUGGCGCUCGGUGCCCGCCGAGGACCGCUGUGCCCGUCCAGCUUCUCAGCACCUCAUGGGCGUGUUGCAUUUACUUACUCAUUUUAGAGAAUGAAAGA